CGGCAGGCCUUAUACAUGCAAGUCGAACGGUAACAUUGGUGCUUGCACCAGAUGACGAGUGGCGCACGGGUGCGUAACGCGUAUGCAACCUACCUUUUACUAGAGUAUAGCCCAGAGAAAUUUGGAUUAAUCCUCUAUAACAUCUUUUAAUUUCAUGAUUAAUUGAUUAAAGUUUUAACGGUAAAAGAUGGGCAUGCGUCCUAUUAGUUUGUAGGUGAGGUAACGGCUCACCUAGACUACGAUAGGUAGGGGCCCUGAGAGGGGGAUCCCCCACACUGGUACUGAGACACGGACCAGACUCCUACGGGAGGCAGCAGUAAGGAAUAUUGGACAAUGGACGAAAGUCUGAUCCAGCCAUGCCGCGUGCAGGAUGAAAGCCCUAUGGGUUGUAAACUGCUUUUAUACAGGAAGAAACACUCCGACGUGUCGGAGCUUGACGGUACUGUAAGAAUAAGGAUCGGC
rnacentral:rRNA from 1 species